rnacentral:rRNA from 1 species
GAUGAACGCUGGCGGCGUGCCUAAUACAUGCAAGUCGAGCGAACAGACGAGGAGCUUACUCCUCUGACGUUAGCGGCGGACGGGUGAGUAACACGUGGAUAACCUACCUAUAAGACUGGGAUAACUUCGGGAAACCGGAGCUAAUACCGGAUAACAUGUUGAACCGCAUGGUUCAACAGUGCAAGACGGUCUUGCUGUCACUUAUAGAUGGAUCCGCGUCGCAUUAGCUAGUUGGUAAGGUAACGGCUUACCAAGGCAACGAUGCGUAGCCGACCUGAGAGGGUGAUCGGCCACACUGGAACUGAGACACGGUCCAGACUCCUACGGGAGGCAGCAGUAGGGAAUCUUCCGCAAUGGGCGAAAGCCUGACGGAGCAACGCCGCGUGAGUGAAGAAGGUCUUCGGAUCGUAAAACUCUGUUAUUAGGGAAGAACAAAUGUGUAAGUAACUAUGCACGUCUUGACGGUACCUAACCAGAAAGCCACGGCUAACUACGUG